rnacentral:rRNA from 1 species
GGGGGGGGGGGGGGGGGGGGCGGGGGGGGGCGGGGCGGGGGGCGGCGCGGUGAGGGCGGGCGCGUGCGGGUGGCGAGUGGCGGACGGGUGAGGAGUGCCGCGGGCUGUCCUGUUUCGGGGGGGCUAACGUCGUGCCCCUUGCGCUCAUACCGCAUACGACCUCCGGGGGACCUCAGGGGCUCUUCGCCCCUUGCGCUCUUGCAUGCGCCGAUGUCGGAUUAGCCCGUUGGCGUGGUAAAGGCCCACCAAGGCGACGAUCCGUAGCUGGUCUGAGAGGAUGAGCAGCCACACUGGAACUGAGACACGGUCCAGACUCAUACGGGAGGCAGCAGUGGGGAAUAUUGGACAAUGGGCGCAAGCCUGAUCCAGCCAUACCGCGUGGGUGAAGAAGGCCUUCGGGUUGUAAAGCCCUUUUGUUGGGAAAGAAAAGCAGCAGGUUAAUACCCCGCUGUUCUGACGGUACCCAAAGAAUAAGCACCGGCUAACUUCGUG